UUAGAGUUUGAUCCUGGCUCAGGAUGAACGCUAGCGACAGGCCUAACACAUGCAAGUCGAGGGGUAACAGGGGCUUCGGCCCGCUGACGACCGGCGCACGGGUGAGUAACGCGUAUGCAACCUGCCUGUAACAGCGGGAUAGCUCCCUGAAAGGGGAAUUAACACCGCAUAAGACCACGCUCUCGCAUGGGGACGGGGUAAAAUAUUUAUAGGUUACAGAUGGGCAUGCGUGACAUUAGUUAGUUGGUGAGGUAACGGCUCACCAAGACUGCGAUGUCUAGGGGUUCUGAGAGGAAGGUCCCCCACACUGGAACUGAGACACGGUCCAGACUCCUACGGGAGGCAGCAGUGAGGAAUAUUGGUCAAUGGACGCAAGUCUGAACCAGCCAUGUCGCGUGCAGGAUGACUGCCCUAUGGGUUGUAAACUGCUUUUAUAUUGGAAGAAUUGCGCUUACGAGUUAAGCGUUUGACGGUACAUUAUGAAUAAGGAUCGGCUAACUCCGUGCCAGCAGCCGCGGUAAUACGGAGGAUCCGAGCGUUAUCCGGAUUUAUUGGGUUUAAAGGGUGAGUAGGCGGUAAUAUAUGUCAGGUGUAAAAGAUCAUGGCUUAACCAUGGUUAGCACUUGAAACUGUAUGACUUGAGUGCAGGAGAGGUAAGCGGAAUUCCUAGUGUAGCGGUGAAAUGCGUAGAGAUUAGGAAGAACACCAGUGGCGAAGGCGCUUCUCUGGACUGUAACUGACGCUGAGGCUCGAAAGCGUGGGGAGCAAACAGGAUUAGAUACCCUGGUAGUCCACGCCGUAAACGAUGGAUACUAGGUGUAGGGGUUGUCAUGACCUCUGUGCCGCCGCUAACGCAUUAAGUAUUCCGCCUGGGGAGUACGGUCGCAAGAUUAAAACUCAAAGGAAUUGACGGGGGCCCGCACAAGCAGCGGAGCAUGUGGUUUAAUUCGAAGCAACGCGAAGAACCUUACCUAGACUUGACAUCUCCUGCAUUACUCUUAAUCGAGGAAGUCCCUUCGGGGACAGGAUGACAGGUGGUGCAUGGUUGUCGUCAGCUCGUGUCGUGAGAUGUUCGGUUAAGUCCGGCAACGAGCGCAACCCUCGUUGUCAGUUGCCAUCAUUUGGUUGGGCACUCUGGCGGGACUGCCGUUGACAAAACGGAGGAAGGUGGGGAUGACGUCAAAUCAUCAUGCCCCUUAUGUCCUGGGCUACACACGUACUACAAUGGGCGUUACAACGGGCAGCGAAACCGCGAGGUGGAGCGAAUCCCCAAAGGCGCCCUCAGUUCGGAUUGCAGGCUGAAACUCGCCUGCAUGAAGCCGGAAUUGCUAGUAAUGGCGGGUCAGCAUACCGCCGUGAAUACGUCCCUGUUCCUUGCACUCACCGCCCGUCAAG
rnacentral:rRNA from 1 species